rnacentral:lncRNA from 1 species
UUUUAUAGUUGGAUAAAGUUCAAUAAUACUUGGAGAUAAAAAAAAAAAAAAUAGACAAGAUUCCACAUUUAAACAAUAAAAUCCAGCGGGCUCUAUCCGACCCAAUCUGUUUUUUUCUCAUCAUCUACUUUCUAUAUUGGUAAUGGUUACAUCAUUUAUAGACCAUGUAUUAUUUGGAAGGGGUUCUCCAUAAAAUGCAGCAGUGAAAGCAGGUUGUGUUGGAGAUAGAAGAUCAAUGAUCUCACUGUUAAGCAUGGAAAUCACCAUCGACAUCGAUGGCUGAUUGUUGGCGUGUUCUUGCACGCACAACAAUCCAACAUGUAUACAUCUCAGUAUUUCUUGAUGGCAACAUUGCUUAGAAACAAGCUCAGUAUCUGCUAAUGCCAAAAUGUUAUCUUCAAUCCACAACUUCCAUGCCUGCAAAAACAAAAAACAAGUAAACGAUUGUUUUUAACCUUUGAAAAGUUGGAUCUAUUAGUGAUUAUGUAAAGUUGUAAACUUACAUAUCCGAGAAGGUUAAAAAAAUGUUCAUUGUUAUAAAAACUUGUGUUUCUUCUUCCACUAACGAUUUCCAGUAAUAAAACACCAUAGCUAAAAACAUCAGAUUUCUCCGAGAAAUGUCCUCUCAAUACAUAUUCAGGAGCCAUAUAUCCACUGCAGAUUAAGAUUAAUUUAACAACACUAUAUUUGUAUGAAAAAAGGGUUCAUGAAAAAGAUCCCUAAGUUACUUACUAUGUGCCCACUAUCCUUCUUGUAUUUGCUUGAUUUUCGUUGCCACCAAAAAUUCUAGCCAUCCCAAAAUCUGAAAUUUUUGGAUUCAUUUCUUCAUCUAAUAAGAUAUUACUUGCCUUUAAAUCUCUGUGUAUAAUUCGCAAUCUCGAAUCUUGGUGAAGAUAAAGAAGGCCUCGACUGAUUCCUUUGAUGAUAUUAAACCUGUUUUUCCAGUCCAAGAGUUUUCGCUUUGUCGAAUCUUCAAAGAAAGCAAAGAGUAUUUAAGAUGGGAAACUCAAUGCAAGAGUAAAGAAAACAAAUAAGAUGUUAAAGUGAUUGGGAAAGUUGAGUAAUGAUUUCUAACCAAAGAGAAAUGCAUCCAAGCUUUUGUUAGGCAUGUAUUCAUACACCAACAUCUUUUCUUCUCUUUCGAUACAACAUCCCAACAGUCGAACGAGAUUUCGAUGUUGGAGUUUAGAAAUCACUAACACCUCAUUGGCAAAUUCUUCAAAUCCCUGUCCUGAAACACUUGACAAUCUCUUCACUGCUAUUUCUUUCCCAUCCAACAACUUUCCCUGAAAAAAAGUAGACCCUUUGAAGUCCAUAUUUUCACUCAAAGUCGAGUGUGACAUGGGUUUGAACUCAUUUUUGCAUAAAGCUAAAAAGCUCACCCUAUAAACCGGGCCAAAGCCACCCUGCCCAAGCUUAUUUGAAGGGUUGAAAUCUAUUGUUGCAGUGGCAAGUUCCUCAAAUUUGAAGAGUGGCAGCUGAUGAAGUUUGGUCUCUUUUCCAUUGUCUUCAAACAUGGCAAGUUCCUCAAAUUUCACAUAUACUCUUCUGCCUGUCCUAUCUGAUCAUAUACACACAAAAUUCAUAGCUCAUUGCAUGUCAGAAUUCCAGUUUUCGACUAUGGAAUUAGAAUCAACAGUGUAAAGUACCUCUAUCUUUGUUCAUCCACCUCAGUAGAAAAAUUAAGGAGACGACAAUAAUGAUGGUUGUUCCUAUUACCACUGUUAUUAUGAUAGCUACGGUUAUGUUCUUUUUAUCUGCAAACCCAAAGAACGAAACUGUGAACAGAAUUGCAGUGAAGAAGGCAGAUAACUAAAUGAAUACUGAAAAAAAUGUUACCGAGUUCGGAUCGAGGCAAGCGAAUAUAUAGAUCUAACCCUCCAUAGGAGAAUUUCUGUAUAUCGAUCAAGUCUUUGCUCCACGACAUACAACCGAUACCUGCAUCGAACGCGUAAGCGAUACAUGAGCAGUUGUUCAAGCAUCGGUUUUUGCAUUCGUUUUCGAGGUGUUCGGACCACUCCGCAAAGUCAGGUACUUUGAUUCUCUCGAGCUUCAAAAACCCAUAUUCGUUAUCGUCUGGUUCGCUGUCAGUGUUGUUUACUCGAUGGCAUCGCAACGGGUUGAUCCUCGUACAUCCAUGAGUCCAAUUUCCGCUGUUCCAUUCAUCUAUGUUGUUGGGUUUGAACCCUUUCAUACAGCUGCAAAUUGAUGGUUUUUGAGAAUUACAGAUCCCAAAUGCCCCACACUUUCCAUAAAGGGCACAUUCAGUUGCAGCAGGAGAGUCGUAAGUAGUCCAAUUCCCUUUCUCAUCAUCCCAAAAUCGUUGACGAGUAAUUCCUUGGGGAUCCAAGUAAGCAUAUGAUAAAUAAGAACUGUUGAAGAAGGCUAAAGUAAGAUAAAAAGUUCCUUGGUUGUCAUUCACGAGACUUAGUCCAUCAAGAACGAAAGAAUUCAUGUUUGGUAUGCCGGUGAAGCUAUGGCCAUUCCACGGACCGCUCCGCCAAUACGGUUUCGUAUUGUUCCAAACGAAAUUCUCAGGGAUGGCUAAAGGCUGUAGACCCGAAGUAAAACUGCCAGUAGAUGGAUCAGAAGAGCUUUUCCAUGAUGUCAACUCCACUUUCUCUCCGGUUCUUACAUUUGUACUGAGUCUCAUCAUCGGCACAAACACGUUUAACGGCUCCCAGAAACUCUCCCACACGGUGUUUCCGUUAGCCUUCAAAACAAGGUUUCCAGUGUCUAAAAUCUGAGCACUUACAUUCGCUCCUCUCGGAUUUCUAACAUUUGACGACCACAGAGUCUGGUUUUGACCGUCGGAAACGACGAGGUUUCCGUCGUCGGAAACCAUGAAAACCCCAGAAUCAUCCUUAAGAGGCUUGUUUCUAUUCGCUAUCCAAAUCACAGAUUCUUCGAGAACCCCUCUAUUAUUGUACCAUAUUCCAACAUAGCGAUGAUCAGUUGAACUAGAAAGGCUAAAGAAUCCCAAUCGGAAAACCCCAUUGUUGGAAACUAAAGCUUGAGAAUCAUUGAUGGGUGUUGAUGAUGUAAUGUGUUAAGAAAUGGCUUAAAAUUGGUAGUGGAUUGUUGUUGUUGGUAGUGGGUUGUUGGUGGUAGUGGAUUAGUGGAUGGUUGUUGGUGUCCAUUUUCAACCACAAAUCUUUGCCAAAGUUUUGGACAAUUAUGUCCUUGAACUCUCUUAUAAAUAGAGAGGUUCAUUAGCCAUAUUUAUCAUCCCAAACCAAGAGAGAGCAAAGCUUGUUCUUUGAAAGCUAGGAUUUUAGCUUUCGGGUUUUCUAUAGGGGUUGAGAGUUGUGAGGUUCUCGGGUUGUGUCUUGAGUGUAAAACACUUGUAAUCUUCAUCUUGUUAUAGUGAAAUUUCUUUUCGCCUCUGCCCGUGGACGUAGGCAUUAAAGCCGAACCACGUAAAUCCUUGUGUUCACUUUAUUUUUCGUUUCGGUCAAUUUACUUGUAGUCAUAUCGGAGUUCUCGAAUCGAUCCUUUCCGCAACAAAUUGGUAUCAGAGCGUAGUUGAAGGAGUGAUAAUAUUUUCUGAAUUGCCCUGUGACUGCAGCUUUGUCUGAUCUUUCACAUCAGGAAGAAAAUAUUAUCAUUCAUUCAAAGGUUCCAAAUUAUGGCUACAAGUGUUUCAUCGACUAAGUAUGAUGUCGAGAAAUUUACCGGGAAAAAUAGUUUCAGUUUAUGGCGCAUCAAGAUGCGGGCAGUGCUGGUUCAACAAGGAUUGCUAAAAGCAUUGUCUGGUAAAGAUAAAUUACCAAGCACGCUUUCGGAAGAGCAAAAGGAUGACAUGCUAGAAAGAGCACAUAGUGCUAUUCUGCUAUGUCUAGGAGAUGAAGUGCUACGAGAAGUAGCGGAUGAGAAAACCGCGUCCGGUUUGUGGCUCCGGUUAGAGAGCAAGUACAUGACGAAGUCAUUGACGAACCGGCUCUACCUCAAGCAAAGACUCUAUGCCCUGAAGAUGGAGGAAGGUACACCUGUUUCCCAGCACCUGGAUAAAUUCAAUUCCAUUAUCAUGGAUUUGAAUAAUAUCGAUAACAAAAUCGAUGAUGAGGACCAAGCAAUAAUUGUUUUGUGUUCUUUGCCUCCCUCGUAUGAGAAUUUUGUUGAUACAAUGAUGUACGGUCGUGAUGACCUGACUCUAGAGGAGGUGAAAAAUGCCUUAAGUUCCAGUGAGUUGAGGAAGAAAAUCACUGGUAAGGUGGUCGAAAACAAUGAAGGCGAAGGCUUGGUUGCUCGAGGAAGAUCCAAGGCAAAGGGUGGAAGUUCAAGUAAAAGCCAUCCUAGAUCGCAGUCCAAGAAGAGAAUACAGUGCUACUACUGUAAGAAGUACGGGCACAUGAAGGUAGAUUGUCCGAAAAGGAAGGAGAAAUCAGAAUCACAGGAGCAACAAAAUGAUCGUGCGAAUGUAGCUGAUGCAGAUUCUUCAAGUGAUGCCGAGAUCGUUCUUGCAGUAUCCGACUCUUACGCUGGUGGGAGAUGGAUUCUUGAUACGGGAGCUACAUUUCAUAUAAGUACUUCGAAAGAUGCAUUCUCAACAUACGAGAAGCAUUCUGGUUCAGUACUAAUGGGAAAUGACCACGCAUGUCAAGUCAUGGGGAUUGGCACAGUUCGUAUAAAGAUGUUUGACGGUAUUGUUAGAACUCUAACUGAUGUUCGGCACAUUCCAGAAAUGAAGAAAAAUUUGAUCUCUUUGAGUACGUUGGACAAGAAAGGCUUUCGGUACUCUGCUGAAGGUGGAGUUCUCAAGGUAUUCUCGGGUGCUUUGACUGUGAUACGUGGUAAUUUGGAGCGGGGCCUUUACUUCCUCGAUGGUUCCUCGGUUACAGGUGUUGCGGGAGUGUCAUCAUCAGAUGAUCUAGAUUCUGACACCACGAAGUUAUGGCAUAUGCGGCUCGGGCAUAUGAGCGAGAGAGGCUUAUCGGUGCUAAGCAAACGAGGAUUAUUGUCUGGGCAGUGUACAGGAAAGUUGAAUUUCUGUGAGCACUGCGUCUUCGGUAAGCAGACUCGGGUAAAGUUCAGCACUGGGAUUCACAAGACAAAAGGCACAGUGGAUUACUUCCAUUCUGACCUUUGGGGGCCUUCUCCGACAAUUUCUAAAGGUGGUUACAGAUAUCUGCUUACCUUUAUCGAUGAUUACUCGAGAAAGGUUUGGGUGUAUUUUCUGAAGAGCAAGUAUGAGGUUCUCAUCAACUUCAAGCAAUUUAAAGCUUUGAUCGAAAAUCAAACAGGAAAGAAGAUCAAGCGAUUCCGGACGGAUAAUGGCUUGGAGUUUUGCUCAGGUGAAUUCAAUGAGUUCUGCAAAAAUGAAGGAAUAGUGAGACACCGCACUGUUCGUCGAACACCACAACAAAAUGGAGUUGCAGAACGCAUGAAUAGAACUCUCUUGGAGCGAGCUCGUUGCAUGCGAUCAAAUGCUGGGCUCGGUGAAGAAUUUUGGGCUGAAGCUGUUAAUACUGCUUGUUAUUUGGUUAACAGAUCUCCGUCAACAGCUAUUGAGCUGAAGACUCCUGAGGAAGUAUGGUCUGGUUCUCCUGCUGAUUACUCUGGUUUAAGAGUGUUUGGCUGCCCUGCGUAUGCUCAUGUAAAUGAGGGAAAACUCAAACCGAGGGCGAAGAAAUGCAUAUUUCUUGGAUACGGCCAAGGGGUGAAAGGAUACAGGUUGUGGUGUCCUGAUCCGGUUUCGUCCAAGUUCAUCAUCAGCAGAGAUGUGACUUUUGAUGAGUCAUCCAUGCUUCGAUCCACCACAAAUUCCUGGGAAAAGGAGGAGUCAGAUAGAAUGGGAGAUCACGGUGUUGAGAAGCAGGUGGAGUGUCAGGUGGACGCUCCAAUUCCUACGGAAGGUACUUCAGUCCAGGAUGAUCAAGUUGAGGUGCAAGAUUCCGAUGAAGAUGAGUCACCUCAAGAAAAACCAUAUAGCAUUGCCACUGGAAGAACGAAGAGACAAAUCAAACCAAAUCCGCGUUACGCUAAUCUGGUGUCUUUCGCGCUCAGUGUGGCGGAGUCCAUUGGUAUAGAACCUUCCAGUUAUAAUGAGGCUGUCACGUGUGAUGAGUCGGCACAGUGGGCAAUUGCUAUGAGUGAGGAGAUAGAAUCUCUUCACAAGAACCAUACUUGGGAGUUGGUUAAGCCGCCAAGUAACCAGAAGAUAGUUGGUUGCAAAUGGGUCUUCAAGAAAAAGGAAGGCAUCCUAGGGGUUGAAGCAACUAGAUUCAAGGCACGAUUGGUUGCUAAAGGCUUCACUCAGAAAGAGGGGAUUGACUACAAUGAAGUUUUCUCCCCAGUAGUAAAGCAUUCUUCCAUUCGUGUAUUACUUGCCAUGGUGGCCAAGUCUGAUCUAGAACUUGAGCAGCUUGACGUAAAAACGGCGUUCUUGCAUGGUGAGCUCGAGGAAACAAUCUACAUGCGUCAACCAGAGGGUUUUACAGUUCCUGGUAAAGAAGACCAUGUCUGUCUAUUAAAGAAGUCUUUAUAUGGAUUGAAACAAUCCCCAAGGCAGUGGUACAAGCGGUUUGAUAGCUUCAUGAUUCAGCAUGGUUACACAAGAUGUGACUAUGAUGCUUGUGACUAUCAUCGGAAGCUCUCAGAUGGUUCGCACAUUUAUUUGUUGCUGUAUGUUGAUGACAUGUUAAUUGCUUCCAAAAACAUGUCGGAAAUCAACAAGUUAAAGUCGCAGUUGAGUGGUGAGUUCGAGAUGAAGGAUCUGGGUGCUGCCAAGAAAAUUUUGGGCAUGGAUAUUCACAGAGAUCGCAAGGCGGGCAAGCUUCGUGUGUCGCAGAAGAACUACAUUGAAAAGGUUCUUCAACGCUUCGGCAUGGAUAAAGCGAAAACUGUGAGUACUCCGUUGGCACCACAUUUCAAACUCUCUGCAGAGUUGUCACCACAAUCUGAUGAAGAAAAGCAGCAAAUGUCUCACAUUCCAUACUCGAGUGCAGUUGGAAGCGUGAUGUAUGCAAUGGUUUGCACUCGUCCAGAUAUUUCACAUGCAGUUAGUGUGGUCAGCAGAUACAUGAGUUGUCCUGGCAAGGAACACUGGCAGGCCGUGAAAUGGAUUCUCAGGUACUUGAGAGGUUCUGCAGAUUUAUGCUUGGUAUAUGAUCAGAGUGACUGCACUAGCAGUGUCACGGGCUAUGUGGACUCUGAUUAUGCUGGAGAUCUGGACAAAAGAAGAUCUCUGACGGGUUAUGUUUUCACUUAUUCUGGAGGAGCCAUUAGUUGGAAAGCUGUGUUACAGUCUACCGUAGCCUUAUCUACGACUGAGGCGGAAUAUAUGGCGUUAGCAGAAGCAGUGAAAGAAGCAUUGUGGAUGAAAGGUCUAGUAAGCAGUUUGGGUUUACAACAGGAUUUCACUGUUGUAUUUUGCGAUAGCCAGAGUGCCAUACAUCUGACUAAAAAUCAGAUGUUUCAUGAACGGACCAAACACAUUGAUGUCAGAUAUCAUUUUGUUCGGGAACAUGUUACGCAAGGUGACAUUGUUAUCAGCAAGGUUGCUACCGAGAAGAAUCCUGCAGAUAUGUUAACUAAGGUGAUCCCUGCAUAUAAGUUCAAGCAUUGCUUGGACUUGAUAGGUAUUCGGGAUUGAUUAGCGCCAGAGAGGCGUUUGGAAGAGGUGAUCCAGUUCGAGGAAUUCACUAUGAUGUUCAGCUUGGUAAAUUUCAAGCCAAGGUGGAGAUUUGUUAAGAAAUGGCUUAAAAUUGGUAGUGGAUUGUUGUUGUUGGUAGUGGGUUGUUGGUGGUAGUGGAUUAGUGGAUGGUUGUUGGUGUCCAUUUUCAACCACAAAUCUUUGCCAAAGUUUUGGACAAUUAUGUCCUUGAACUCUCUUAUAAAUAGAGAGGUUCAUUAGCCAUAUUUAUCAUCCCAAACCAAGAGAGAGCAAAGCUUGUUCUUUGAAAGCUAGGAUUUUAGCUUUCGGGUUUUCUAUAGGGGUUGAGAGUUGUGAGGUUCUCGGGUUGUGUCUUGAGUGUAAAACACUUGUAAUCUUCAUCUUGUUAUAGUGAAAUUUCUUUUCGCCUCUGCCCGUGGACGUAGGCAUUAAAGCCGAACCACGUAAAUCCUUGUGUUCACUUUAUUUUUCGUUUCGGUCAAUUUACUUGUAGUCAUAUCGGAGUUCUCGAAUCGAUCCUUUCCGCAACAUAAUGGUAUCAAAGGCAUUGCCAAAGCUUAAACAGCACAAACAAUAAUAGAGAUGAAGAAGAAGUGACAAGUUUGAACCACUCAUUAUUCACAGAAUUCUAUGGUCUUCAUGAACAAGCACCAUUACUAAGCUAUCCAAAUAAGACGGGUCAAUAUAAGACAGCCAGUUGACAUAUGUUGUAUUGUUGAGUAGCAUUUUAAUACAUUAUGAUCAAGGCAAGAUCCUCAAAGUUUUCAACUUUAUCAGCUAUUCAGAUAUUUUCUUUUAUAGUGUUUAAAGACCGAUGAGGUUUGCGUGGCUUGACUUCCUUCUUCUAUAGACUUUUAAAACCAGAAGUUGGGGUCCUGGGCAAGUUGAUGAUUUUGGUUAAAAUAUGACUUAGAUCCUUAACUAUUCACAGACUUACAAGUUAGUCUCUAUACUUUUAUUUUUAAGAUGUUUCUUAUAUUUUUAAAUUUUUAAAAUUGAGGUUCAACUAUUAACACUGUUAAAAUUUUUUUUAUUAAAUUUGUUGGUAUGGCAUUUUAAAAUAAAAAAAAGCUCACUAGUAAUAAUGCAACAAAAAAAAGAACUUUAUAAUUAAAUUGAAUUUACUAAAAUAAUUUAACAACAUUUAACAAUUGGACUUGAAUUUGAAUUAUAUCUGCUCUUUUUGAUAGAUUAACUAGAAGUAGGCAUAAUCCUUCCCCAACUCAUAAAUAGAAGGAUAAUGCGCUUUAGCGCACUUGAAUAAUUAAACCCACAUCCUCUUGCAUCAGCAAUAAUACUCAUACCAAUUGAACUAAUACUCAAUUGGUAAAACUGACAUAUAUUUAAAAAAUAAGAUAUUACAAAUUGAGAAAAUGGGUAUUGAAUAUUAGAGAUGAACCAACCCAAAUUUUAGUCGGGUAGUCCUAUCUUUGGAUAUGCCUAGUUCUAUUGUUUAGAUGGAUUUUGAUUUGUUAAUUUGAUUAGCAAUUUUUAAUUAUUGAUAACAUUUGCAAUUUAUAUAUAAAUGAAUUUUGAUAGGUUAAUAAUUUAUUUAUAUAUCAUUGAGGGCUUGAUUUAAUAAUAAAUUUGAUACUUGAUAAUUUUGAGAUAUUAAGUUCGAAUUCAUAAGUGUAAAUUAUGUAUGGGUAAGUAGAGCGAAGUCGAAAAUUUUAUUUAGGAGGCCGAUAAAAAAUUAUAAAAUUUUAGGAGAUUAAAGUUUAAAGUUUUAUGUUGAAAAGGCUGAAAUUACUAAAUUAUGUAAAUGUUUACUAAUAAUAAUUUUAAAUUUCAAUAAUUUGUAUUUUAACAAUAUUGUUUGAGAAUUUUAAGUUGUGGCCUAUUGUCGGGUGUUCACCUUCUCCAGGAAUAAUUUGGGUUCAAGUAAUCAUUGUAACAACAAUAAUAUUGUUUGAUUCUUAACAUUUUAAGCGUAUUUAAUACACUGGCAAUAUACUUUUUUUUAUUCCAUAAGCAACAUUAAGGUUAAAAUAGAUAUAUCAAGUUUAAGUUUGUUAAUAAUAAUGUUUUGAUUGGUGCUGUAUAUCGAAAUGUUUUAAAUAAAAAUUUAUUGUAAAAAAUAUUUUAGUAUUAUUUAUUAUUAAAGUUAUAAUUUUACAAAGAGAAAAUAUUGUGACACUUGGUUAUUCUCAUCAAGUCAAUAAAUGCAUCUGAGAGUUAAGUUGUAAUAAAGUUAAUUAUUUUCUUAAAUUUUUAAUUCAAAUUACUUUCUACAAAAUCUAAAUAAUGAUAAUUCAUUCGAAAUAAUUUAUUUUAUCCAACUAUUAUUUCUUUCUCUCUAAUGUAGGGAAAACUAUUAAAAUCUUCAAUUUAUUCAACUCUUUUAAUAAUACGAGACUCAUAACUAGUAUAUAUUCCCAACUUUUUUUGAAUUAUUAUUUAACAUCUCAGCUAACAGAAGUGCAAAGUAUAAAGGGACUAAGUUGGCACCUUUUACACUACAUGGACUAAUUUGAACUGAUCCCUAACAACAGAGACAAAUUUGAAGUGAUCCUGAGAAGUAAGGCCUACUAGAUACUUUGACCAUUUUUUUUUUCAGACAAUAAAAUCAACACACAACAAAUAGUAAAAAUAUAAACAAACAAUUUUCUCCAUUUCUUUUUAUUUCUUCAGGAAACAUUAACAGAUGAAGGGGCACAGGGGGACAUUAUAGAUCAGUCAUUGAAUGUUCUUUUGUUCUUUGGAUGGUGGUAUCCACUCUGCUAUUUUUUUAAUGUCUCGAACCACAACUACAACACGUAUUAAACAUACUCUAACCCGGAACACUCGAUAUUAAUUAGUCAUUCUCUUAUUUUGAGUUAAUACAGGACCCCGGGUUUCGUUACCUUUAGGCCAUUUCACUUUCGCCAUCAUCAGCUUAGCAGCCACGGACUUGAGACCGGUCUUCAUGCAACGAACAAUAACUCUGACCAGCUCUCUGCAGAAUACAGUUUUAAAUCAGUUAUUUCUUGCAGAGCCAGAUGGUGUUCGGGACACAAAAGGCAAUACGUCGGAUUGAAACCUAGUGGACAAAAGAUAACCAAUUCUUGAACACCUUCAACUUUCAAGGGACAUGAAAAGUACAAUGCUAGUUCAAUGGCUUCAUUACCUGCUGGAAAAUUCUCAUAAACUAUUCUUUCUUCUAGCAAUUGUCUCGAACUUGCAAUCAAACUAUUUGGUAAUAAAACAGACUACGAGUGUAAUUUGAACCGGACGUCAUGAAUAAAAGGUAAAUAUCUUAAACUAAAAGGUUCGAGUUUAAGGUUUCAUUAUUACAAGUUUGUUUAAAAUAAAAAAACAUGCAGUCUCAAUCAUGGCAGUCAUUUAAUCUUUAAGCAUUGUACUAUUUCCAACAUAAGAACCCCAUAAAAAUGCCACAACCAUAUUCCACUUGGACCACGGUAAUUCGAAGGAAAGAAAGGUUGAAAAUCAACAGAUAUGACUUGCUCUUAACUAUUGCUUUCGUAUUUCUUAAAAAAAAAAAAACAUUUAUGGUCUUAAAAGUUAUAUUUUUAGUUUUUACUGAUCGUGAAAACUAUAAUAGGGUAUGCUAUGUUAUGAUCGGAGUCAUAAACAACCUUUGGGUGCAGCCUAAUAGAAUGCAAAGAACAAAGAAUAGCUGCCUGGUUCGAAAUUCAUAGAUUAAGAUAACACAUUCAGUCCUGGCAAUACCGUACCACUACACCAAAACAGGCUUUUAGCGGUGCUUUUUUAGGCCUUUAGCGGCGCUUUUUAGCGCCGCAGAUACUUUUAGCGGCGCUUUGAAAAGCGCCGCAACAGACGCCGCUAAUGAAUGCGCCGCUAAAGACUAAGAACCUAAUCUCAAACGCCGCAAUAGACCCUGAUCUAUAGCGGCACUUUGACCACAAACGCCACGAAAGAACCUAAUCUUUAGCGGCGCUUUCCCCUCAAACGCCGCAAUAGACCCUGAUCUAUAGCGGCGCUUCGACAACAAAACGCCACUAAAGACCAUGAUCUUUAGUGGCGCUUUUUCCACAAACGCCGCUAAAGACCCUUAUCUUUAGCGGCGCUUUGACCAAAAACGCCACUAAAGGCCAACACCUUUAGUGGCGUUUUUCUUAAAAAUGCCACAAAAUUUGGCAGAUUUGUAAAAUAAAUUUUUUUUUAUAUUUUCAGCCCUCCUGUAAAAACAAAUCAGAAGAAAUCAUAUCUAAACCAGCCAAAAGUAAUAAAUCUAUAUAGUAAACAAAUAAAAUAAUAAAUAUCAAUAAAUAAAAUAAAAUUCGUAUUAUUCUUACAAAAAUGUUAAAAGUUAAAAUGAUAAUUAAAAGUCAAAAUCGAAGUAUAUUUACACGAUAGUUUAAGACGGCGGCUGUUGCAACUGCUGAAACAUCUUCAUCAUACUCUGAAGCUGCUGCUGGAGUUCAUCGAACUUUUGACGCUGCUCGGCUUCCCUCGCUGCAGCCUCUGCUUCCCUCGCUUUAGCCUCUACUUCUCUUGCUGCUGCAUCUGCUUUAAGCUGCUGCUGGAGUUCUUCAUACUUUCGUUGAACCUCAGCUUCUCUCGCUGCUGCAUCUGCUUUCAGUUGUAGCUGGAGUUCUUCAUAUCUUUUUUGAACCUCAGCUUCUCUCGAUGUUGCCUCCGCUUUAAGUUGUGUAAUUUGCUCAAUUGUUGUCGCUUGCAUCUGAGCCAUCUGGUCUCUUAACCUCUGAACUUCAGCUUCGGCUCGACUCCUCGAAGGCAUAUAUUGUUGCGAGCUAGAUCCAAAAUAUUGGGAUGGGUUACCAAAAGAUCCUUGAAAUCGAUCCCGACCAUACCUUUCAGGACCCAAAACUUCAGUGAUAAUCCGGUUAUCAAUGUCGUCAAUAUGAACAGAACUAUCACUGGAAGCAAUCGCUUCGUACUCCGCCUUUUUAUCCUUUAAUUUUUCCUAAAAAAUAAAUCAAAUAGUUAGGAACGCAAUAUAUAUUAAAAAACCCAAUGCAACAUAACUUAACAAUAUUUGCAUUGCAAUAAAUGAAAUAAAUCAUUAGAAAAUAAACACUAUAAAUUAUUAAAACAAGUGAAAUUGUAUUAAUUAAGCAAACGUACCGUAAUUUCUGCAGCUUCAGGAGUCAUAGGGUUUCCAUCUUUCUUCCUAUGUGUAAUGUCAAAAAGUUGAAGGCGUCCAACUUUUUGACCGGACGACAGUUCCUACAAUACAAUAGUAAAAAUAUUAAUGUAAGUAAGUAAUAAAUAUCUGCCAAUAUUAAAAAAUUGAAAAUACCUCUGCAUGAGCUACACACGCAAAACUUUUCGACUCAGCUGUGUGAGUGAAUUUUUGUUGCUGCCUACUUUUUUUUCCAACUUCUUCACGAUCCUACAUUAUGAAAUUAUUAGUACGUUAAUUAGGAAAUACUAUACACCAAAAUAAUUACAAAAUUUUAUAAGUUACACAUACCUCUCCUUUCUUCGAAGUCCAAAAUCUAACGACCUCUUCCCACUGGUACCUCAGUAUUCCCGGUGGGACAUUUUGUAAUCUCUCGUCGAGUGUUGUUUUUGUCUUAAAAUAGUCUUUCUUUAAAGUGCUCUUAUGGUCUCUCUAUCUUUUUCCCAAUGCCUUCUUUACAUAAGCAUCGAAGACCUCUAGAGCAAAUCUCGCUUACAAAAAACACAACUUAAGAAAGUAAAUGUAAACGAAACUUAAACCCAAGUAUUAUAAAUGACAUACACGUUUUGUUACCUUAAUGUUAUCGAGAGCUUGGUUCUUGUUACUCUCGGGCACUUUAUGCCAUGACUCGAAGUUAAUUGGCAACAUAUUUGCAUUCCGUGCUAGAAUGCCCAUGUAUCCUGCUAAAAGGCGAGCUUCUGAUCCAACAGGCUGACCAAAGCUAUUACUGGAUACUUGGACACGCUCGACUGGAUCUAGGUCGUAUAAAUCGCUCAGUACCGUACGUCCGCGACCUCUCCGCGUCCCACCAGUUUCAUCUGAAAAAUAAAAGUAUUGUAAUAUUUAACUAAUUUUAAAAAAAAAACAAGAAGUCAACACACAUGUAAAUUAAAUGUUAAAUUACUUUGAACUUCUAUAGGUUCCUCAGGUGUAACCGGAACAUUCGAAGAUCCAAUAGCAGUCUGUUGUUCAGUGCUGUUUGUUUCCGCCGAGUUUGGAGUACCUUGAACAAUGCGGUGCGAUCGCACUUUUCUUCUAGGCAUUUUAUCUGCAAUACAAAUAAAUUAGUUGAAAACUUAGUAUACAAUUACAACAAUAAUAUCACAUAUAAAAUAGUUGAAAUAUCAUCAUUCGUAGAUGUAAUUAGAUAAUCGUAAAAGCUUACUACAUUAUAAUUCGUAAAUCUCUUCAUCCGUAUCCUGGCAGACCCAUUGAAAUUGUGUACUAGUACUAGGGAUGUUUUCGUUUAAGUUCUGUUCUAUUGUAAAUUUAAGUUAUAAAUUUAUUAUUAAUAAAAUUUAAAUAUAGCUUACAUACGUAAAUGAAUAUAUGUAUAAUAUUAAAAAAAUAGUAAUACUUAUUUAAGUUAUAAAUUUAUUAUUAAUAAAAUUUAAAUAUAGCUUACAUACAUAAAUGACUAUAUGUAUAAUAUUAAAAAAAUAGUAAUACUUAUUUAAGUUAUAAAUUUAUUAUUAAUAAAAUUUAAAUAUAGCUUACAUACGUAAAUGAAUAUAUGUAUAAUAUUAAAAAAAUAGUAAUACUUAUUUAAGUUAUAAAUUUAUUAUUAAUAAAAUUUAAAUAUAGCUUACAUACGUAAAUGAAUAUAUGUAUAAUAUUAAAAAAUAGUAAUACUUAUUUAAGUUAUAAAUUUAUUAUUAAUAAAAUUUAAAUAUAGCUUACAUACGUAAAUGAAUAUAUAUAAUAUUAAAAAAAUAGUAAUACUUAUUUAAGUUAUGAAUUUAUUAUUAAUAAAAUUUAAAUAUAGCUUACAUACGUAAAUGAAUGCUUUUAAACUAAUCUUCCACUGAAUUAUUCGUGGAGAGGUAUAUGUGUUACUAAUUUGACAACAAUAUAUGUUUAAAUUUGAUGCACCAUUUUUACUUUGACUUAUUUAAAGUAUUAAAAUAACAGUUUAAAGAAUUUCUCCAUAUAACAUUUUAAGUGACUUGACAUUUUGAAAAACGAGCUUAACAACUUAUGAAUUCAUGUUUUAAGUAAAGCAAUUGUGAAUAUUUAUAUACAUCAUAAAAAGGAGUAUUUUGUAAUAUUUAAAAAAAAAAGGUGAAUCACAUGAAGAAAUAUUAAACAGAUGAAGACAAUACUAAUGCCACUGUCAAAGUGCAAUUCGCGUUUUGACUGGAAAAUAGAAGCUAAAGGCAGCUUGGUUUCACACUUAAGUUUUCUCCAGCAUUUCCAGGCAAACUAGGUCAAAACAGUAAGACAUUUGCACAUCAAAAUAUCCUACAUAAAAAUUUGCACAUCAAAUCCUUUGCUAAAAGCAGAGUAGCAGAUGAUUCCACCGACAGCAUUUUUGUGCAAAAAACAGAAAUUUUCCUACAUAUACAUUUGCACAUCAAAUUUUCGUAAAUAUAUAUUUGUACCUUCAGAACCUUGCAGCAAACAGAAAUGAAGGCAAUGAAAUUGAAUGGACUGAAACCCUAUAAAAAAGCAGUAUUAACAUCAGUUUGUAAGCAAUGAAACCAUUCCAAUCACUUUCGAACCAUUACACUACCUUCAGGACGGUCCAAAAAAAAUGAAGAGGAAAACCGAAUAAAAUUUACAACAUAGGAUACAAUUUUUUUUAAUUUCAGGAUCAACAAACAAAUACAAACCAAGAAUAAAAUUAACAAGAGAAAACCCAAAUGAAUACGGAUUGAUAAUGGGGAAAGCGAACCUUGAAUACUUAUUCCCCCGACGAUCGAUUCCGACGAUGCUUCGCGACGUUCUCCGUCAACUAUGUGUGUUGACCGAAUGUACGAACCGGAGAUUUUAAUGUUUUGCAAGAAAUGUAAACACUUUUAACAAUGAAAAACGGAACAGAUGAAGAAUUGGGGAUUUCGGUGACUUAGGGAUUUCGGUGAAACAUUUAGGGUGCGUUUGGUUCGCUGUAUUGGAUUAGAGGUGUAUUGGAUUAGAGGUGUAAUAGCAAAUCAACUGUUUGGUUGAAUGUAAUGGAAUAGAGGCGUAAUAGUAAUCUUGUGUUUGGUUGAAUGGAAUAGAGAUGUAAUAGCAUAAUGGAAAAAACUAAAAUGACUAGAAUACCCUUAGCAUAAAAUUGUUUUGGUAAAUGAUUAUUGUUAUUGUUAUUUAAAUUUUAAUAAGAUUAUUAUUAUCAGUAAUAAAUAUUUUAAUCAUAUUUAAACAUAAUUAUUAUUAAAUAUAUUUUAAUUAAAAUAUAUAAUUUAAUAAAAUUCUUAUAAUUGACAGAAAUUUGUUUUGGUAAAUUAUUAUUGUUAUUGUUAUUGUUAUUUAAAUUUUAAUAAGAUUAUUAAUAUCAAUAAUAAAUAAUUUAAUCAUAUUUAAACAUAAUUAUUAUUAAAUAUAUUAUAAUUAAAAUAUAUAAUUUAAUAAAAUUCUUAAUAAUUCAUAUUCUUAUAUGAAUUUACUCAAAUCAUAAUAUAUGAUACUAUAAAUGAAAAUUUGAAAUAAUUAAUAUUAAAUAUAUUUUAAUUAAAAUAUAUGAUUUAAUACAAUUUAAAAUAAUUAUUAUUAAAUAUAAUUUCAUAAAAUGUUCUUAUGAAUUUACUAAAAUCAAUAUAUAACUUGAGAAUUAUAUUCUGCAUAAACAUAAUUAACUUAUACUAAGAAAAAGUUAGAUGAAAAUGAAAUUGUACAUCAUAAUCCAUAUGUUAUAUAGUUUUACAACAUCAAAAAGUUUGAACAUUGAUAUUUAAUGGUGAGAAAGAAAUCUUCUGACCCAUUCCAAUCGGGCAACAGAAGCUAAACUAAAGAAAACGAUCAUUUUAGUUGGAUGAUCGGGAAUUUUACUCAAAGCAUCAUACCGCUGAUCGUCGGUUAAACCUUCAAUUGACCAUAAGGCUGAAUAUAAAUUUGAAGCUUUCUCUUCCAUCUUUUCUUCUGACUUCUGCUGAACUACCACCUCGGAGGCAAUACUCCUACUGAUUUGAUCGCCAACGGCCUGGAUUUUUUCCCCCAACAAGGUGGCAGCCUCCUCAAAUGAAGAAUACACAUUAUCACGAGCAUCAGAUUUCUUCUUUCUCUUGUUUGAAGAUGAGGAACCCCCUUGGUCUCUAUCUCCUCGCGGAUCUGUACCAGAAACAUCCAUGUCGUCUAAAGAGACGUCAGCUUCGCAAUCAUAGAAUGUGUUUCUCUCUUCAUUCAUAUCUAUAGUACGUUCAUCCUCAGCAUGUAUUUCUUCAAGAACAUCAGCAGUUGUUUAAGCGUCUUUCCCAGUCGCCCGAUCUCUUGUGUAUAUCGCAGUAAGCUGGUUGUAGUAAGGGAAAGAACGAUGUCUGAACUGAGAGGCUUCUUUGUGACUCUAAAAAAAUGAGGAAAUCAUAUUAGUUAUAAGUUUUGUAAAAAAACAAAUAAAUACUUGAAAUACAUUUUACCUUUACAUAUGAUUCCCAAACUGCAUCUUCAGCAACAACGAGCUGCCUAUGCUCGUCCCAACCAAAACCACUGUUGUUUUGGUCAUUAAGCAUGUCGUAGACGACUGACCAUUCCCUUUUUAGGCACCUAAUCCGAGAUUCAAUAUUUGGUUUCGCCUUCAACAUUGCUCUUGGUAAAGCCUUUUCUAGCAUUUUCUCUAGCUCGUUCAAAUAACCGGCUUUGAACCCGGUAUCAGCAUUAAAUGUUCCUACAUUGUGCAAAUCCACCAUGCAAGAAACCAAGGCUGCAUCCUCUUCUGGAACCCAUUUUCUUUUGCUUCCUCGAGAAGCUUGAGAAGAAGCACCCGUUGGUGGAACACUUGAGAUAUUGUUCUUAAGAAAAAAAAACAAAUUAACAUUAUUUACUAUUUUGAAUAUCAUGAAUCAAAAGGUGAACAGUUUAUAAUAUUAUAUCGGUAGUUCAAUACUAAAUUUAAAUUUAUAACACAUGCUGAAUGAAAAGAUAAUUAAAUUAUAAUUCAACAAAGUUUAGUACAAUACAGAAUUUUAAUCAAAGACCACCAAAGUUUCAUAAACUAGAUACAUAAAAUAAUAUCAACAAAUCAAUUCAAACUCAAUUUGUCCGUAAACCUAACUAAUUUCUAGAUGUUUGCCAUUCAUCGAACAUUUGGUUGGCUAGUUCCAUCCUCCAAGUUGCCCAAGCAUCCGAUGGAUGAAUAUUUGUGAUAUUCGGUUCAUCGUCAUCCACCACAUUAGUAGGUAAUCCUUCUCCCACCUCCGCUUCAAUGGGAUCAAUACUCAUAUGGGUUCGAAUAAAAUUAUGGAGCAAACAACAUGCAAUAAUAAUUCUAUUGUGCACCCUUACAGGAUAAAACGAUGGACUCCUAAGUAUUCCCCAUCUAAGUUUUAAUAAGCCAAAGCAUCUUUCAAUGACAUUACGUGCUGAGGUAUGUUUCAUAUUAAAAAACUCUUGCGGAGAACUUGGCUGAUAACCCUGACGCCACUCGUUCAGAUGAUAUCGCUAUCCUCUAAAUGGUGCAAGAAAUCCCUCACAAUUUGUGUAUCCAGCAUCAACUAGAUAAUAACAACCUAUAAAAUAAAUUUUUUAAAAAAUGAUUAAUUCAGCAAACAAAGUUUGAUCUUAAUGAAUAAUUCAAAUUCCUCUAACUAUACACUGUACCAUGAGGAACUUUUAGUCCAUGUCUUCUACUAAUGGCAUCUCGAAGCACCCGUCCAUCGGCAACUGAACCUUCCCAACCAGGAAGAACAUAAACAAAUUGCAUCUCAGGUGUACAAACACCUAGCAUAUUUGUUGCUAUGUCACCUUUUCGGGUUCGAUAUCUAGGUUUAUCAACUGUUGGCACCCUAAUCUUGAUGUGGGUUCCAUCAAGAGCACCUAAGCAAUUCUAUAUCACAUGAUAUAAAACAUUGAGUUAGAAUACUAAUUUAAUUCUAAGUCAACUAAAUGUUGUACAAGCUAUAUAUAAAACUCAGUCUAAUACCUUAAACCAUUUCCACCUUGUGUCAGAAGAAUCGGCUGUAAUUGGCUCCGGCUUUUUAAAUAAGACAUCUUGUAAGCGUAUGACAGCAUUUAAAACACUAUGAAAUGCUCUGCUUACAGUUUCCUCGGACCUUCUAAAGUGAUGCUUGAUAACUCGAUUUUUAAGGUGAUAGGAGAUUAUAUGUAAAAACAUUGCUACUUGCUCAUCAACAAGCAUGAACCUUGACGACUUCAAUCCCCCUAUCGAUUCUAACAUCUCACAUAGUUUAAAAAAGGCAGUUCUAUUCAUCCUAACUUGUUCAAUACAAGUCUCGUCACUAGCAUAUACAAGCCUCUUCACAUAAUCCCGUUGUGCAUAAAAAUCUACGGUAUAGGACCUAAUCCUUGGUCUAUAAGUAUGUAGGCUAAGGCUGGCACCCAUUCUAAAUAAGAACCAAAUCGCGAUUGUACAGAUUUCCAACCAAAUUGUCAAUGCAGCACCGAUUCUUUUACGCCUCACACUUUGUGCAAUUAAGGGCAGACGAGCCAUUACUGCACCAUAUUAAAAUUAGAACUCAGUAUCAAUCCCCUCACACUUUAGAGAUGCAAAUUUAUUAAAAUAAAUAUCGUAUAAGAUAUCUUUUUCAAUUAAUAAAAUAGAUAAUUCAUUCAAUUUUUGUUGAGAUAUUGUUAAUCUUUAGUAAGAUUUUAUCAAUUUUAAUUUUUAGGACAUUUUCUCCGUUGAUGCAACAAAAACAUGAGUAAUUAACAUUAUACGCAUUUGAAAAAGGAAUAAACUCUUUAUGAAUAAUUAUGUCAAUUGAGUGUCAUUUUAUAAUUUGAUAAUUUAUUUGAAAAUAAUAUUAUAAUCAAUUUGAAUUAAAUAAGGAAUUUGAAUAUUAUUAAUUUAAUAACAAUUAUAUAAGCAUCGAAAUUGGAACUUGAUUGAUUGUUUAUAUAAGUACCGAAUUAUAUUUUAAUUAAAAUAUGCAGAUUUAAUCUUAAAUUUGGAUAUUAUAUAAGCAUCGAAAUUGGAACUUGAUUGAUUGUUUAUAUAAGUACUGAAUUAUAUUUUAAUUAAAAUAUGCAGAUUUAAUCUUAAAUUUGGACAUUAUAUAAGCAUCAAAAUUGGAACUUGAUUGAUUGUUUAUACAUACUUCAAAAAUAGAGAGCUUAUUAUAUAAAAAAGCCUUGUAAAUUAAUUCAAUAAUUAUUUGAGUCUUUAAUAAUAACAACUAUAUUGUUUAAAUAUAUUGUUUAAAUUAAACCGAAAAUAAAUAUUUCGGUUGAGACCAUGGUGUUCAUACAGUUGAAUAACUCCAGGCUUCCAUUUGAAGGGCGUGUAAUUUAGUGAAAUAGCUUUUACUCGAAUAACGUUGUAUUAAAAUGUUUGAAGCAGUGGUUAAUAUGAGUUUGGUCAACUGCUGUAGGAUGCAUUUGUAAGCAAGUUUCCUCAAUUAGUUGAUGCAUAAUUUAUUGAAUCCACUCAUGAACAAGCAUGAUAAAAGAAUGCGAAAAAUUCACCAAAAUCAUGCAAAUAACAUCAUUACGCAACUACCUUUAGUUUCAAGUAGAUUGGACAUUCAUGAUGACUUGGAUAAUAAAAUAACUAUAAUGAGAAAGGGCAAUGCUCAGAAAGCCUUCAAAGUCGAUAUAUAUAUGAGAUGGAGAGUAGGUUAAAGAGUUACAUGCAAAUAAGACAUUACCAGAAUUAUAUUCUAUCCAAUAAUUGAAGCGGAGUGUAUUGAAGGAUGUUUUAUUAGAUGGGGCUAUCAAAGUAGGCUUUCUUAUUUCUUGUAAGGGAGCUUAUAAUCUUAGAACCAUGGAGUGCUGUUGGUUUUAUGUUCUGUUAAUGUAAUUUUUUAUGGUAGAGUUAACAAUCUUGCCAGUAUCAUAUUAGAGAGAAUUAAGUUAAAAGGUUCAUAGUUCUUCAAUACUAAUCUCAGUAACAGUAAAAAAAAAUCAAAUAAUUUAAUUGCAAAAAAACUUACAGUGACUCAGUGAAUACAAGAGGCUUAGUUAUGGGUGGAGCAAGCAAGCCAAGGGACUAAGGGAGUAGUGCUAGUGGCCGGAGGCGAAGCAAGCAAGGGAGGUUGGGACUGAGAGGUGAAAAUAAAAAUACAAUUUCAAUAAUAAAAAAAGAAGAAGAAAAAGUAAAGCAAUACGUUUGAAGAAGUAAAACAACAUGCCCAUAACAUAACGAAUAAGAAACACAUAAAUAACAUAACCCAACAAAGAAGAAAAAGCUAAAUAGGAAUAUUUCAUGAUGUGUAAUAGGAGAUGACUAGCACUUCGAAUUUAAAGGAAUUUAUGUUAUUUGGUUUCAUAGUUUAGGGAUUCAUCAGCUGACAGUUGGUCUAGAUCAUUGGUCCAGAUACAACUUCACGAAUGAGUUUCUAUUUGGUUUCAAUGAUUUUUAACUUGUCUUCAUUGUCUUGCUCUGGUUAGCUUUGUUACGGAAAAAAGUUUGCAUUUAACUAGAAACUCAUGGUGUCAGGGUUUAUUCCAAGAAAUCCACUAAUUACUUCUUCAACUAUGUUUGUAGGUACCACUGAAAACACAUGAAAAGAAGUCUAUCUUAAAGUUUUUCUCAACAAUGAAAGUUAAAAAGGAACAAGAAUCAAACAUGGAACAAAGUGUGUGCGAUGAAUAUGUCAAAAAAAAUUUGCUGAAUAACUUAAAGGAGGAACCUAAAAGCAGAGAUGAUAGACUUGCAUCCUUAACAGAUAAAACCGUUCACCUCUUUUAGUAAGCAAUUCACCAUUCACUUUAGCAUACUUUAAAUGACAACACAAUCAGUCGCUCGCAAAAUAAAACCAAUCAAAUGCAUUGCAAAUAACUUCAAUUAACAUCAAGUGCUUUCUUUUACACAACAAAUCAAUAAGAACAACAGAAGAACACAUGCAACCUCAAAUCCCCCUUAAAAACGCUUCUUUUCCUUUGAUUAAUUAAUGCUUUUAACAAUUUAAACCCAAAAUGAAACAACUUCCAAUUCCCUGUUAGAACGAACCAACAAAGCCUAUAUACUUAAUCAUGAAGUAAAGAAAAAAAAAGAAAUCACCCACUAAUAAAAAACAUAAAGGUCUUUUUUUUAAAAUGGUGCAAUAUAAAACCAAAAGAGCUAAAAACCUCAGUAAAUGAAUGAUAUUAAGUUAUUAACAUACAAGGAAAAUGAUCAUAGUUUAUAUGAAGAAAAAAUACCUGAAACUAGGUUAAAAUUUCUGGGUCUGUUACAGAAAACAAAGAAAGAAAGGAGAAGCCUUUGUAAAUUUUUACUUAGAGAGAGAAAAACAGAAGCAGCUCUCUUCUGGCCUUUCUCUAUGGCAUGCUCGAGAAGAAUUUGGGGCUACUGGCCGAAGGCGAAGCAAGCAAUGAAGGAGAUAAAGGAAAGACAAAUAAGGGGACAGAGGGCAAAUUAGGGCGUGAAAACUAAAACGGAUGUAAACUGAGGAGAAGGCAGGGAUUAGAAAACAGAGAAUUUCGGGGAUUAGGGGCGUAACGUAUUAGCAGUGUAUUAGGCAAUACAUUGAACCAAACACCUGCUUAAGAGGGGCUUAAGUGGGGCCCACGGAUUAGGGGUGUAUUGGCUAAUCCAAUACACCCAACCAAACAUGCUCUUAGGGAUUUCAGAAGUAAGAAUUGGGGCUGGGGCUGGGUGAGAGCGGGGAUAUACCCCAAAAUUGAUCUGGUCAAUGAAACGACGCUGUUUCACUAAAUUAAUUUGUGGCGCUUAAUAAAAAACGCCACUAAAAAUUAAAUUCGUCAACGAAACGGCGCCGUUUUGUUUAAAUUUUAAUUGGAUCCUUGCGGCGUUUUACACAGAAACGCCACUAAUAAUUCACUUCUUAUAAUUUUUUAUUUCUUUUUAUUUAUAAUUUUAAUUUGUAAUAUAUUUCUGAUUUAAUACAUUAUUUUAAAUGAUAAAAUUUAUUAAAUUUUUUUAAUUUUAUACAGUAUGAAUAAUGUAUAUAUUAGCAACAUUAAAAUUUAUAAAUAAUUGAAAUUAUAAAAAAUACAUUUUCCAAUUUUAAAUUUUAAUCAGAAAAACCUAAAAUAUAAUUUAUUUCCUUUGCAAAAACGCCGCUAAUACCAAUAAACAGUAUAAAAACGAUGUCGUAUUGUCACACUUACAACCAAAAAAUAAACUUAAACGACGUCGUAUUACAGAAACAUUUGCGGCGUUUAUGUAAAACCGCCGCUAAAGCCCCAAACCGUUGCGGCGUUUAUUAAGAAGCGCCACUAAAGUUAUUUCUCCCAAUGAAAACGAAGUCGUUUUGGUUUAAUUUUGUGCGGCGUUUAUACAAUAAAUGCCGCAAAUUCAACUCUAUAGAGGCGUAUUACAAAAAAAACGCCGUUAAUUAUUCAGUUUUUAAAAAUGUUUUAUUUCUCUUUAUUUAUAAGUUUAAUGAUUUUUAAUAGAUUUUUUAUUUUAAUAAUUGUUAUGAAAUUAUUAUAAAUUGACACAUUAAUAUGAUUGUUAUGUAACUAACACAAUAUUAAUAUAUAUAUGUUUCAUAAUAUAUAAUAUAUAUCGUUGCAUAUAUAUCUUUUUCUAUAACCCUAAUUAUAAUAUUUAAUUAUAAUCCUACUAAUGACAUAUAUAAUAAGAAGUAAAAACACAAAGAAUUUACAUUUUUUUUGGCUUUUGUUUUAGAUGAGUAAUUAAACCCUAAAACCCAAAGCUAUUAAUCCCUAUAACCCGUAAAUUUUAAAAUUAAAUUAUAAACCCUAAUUCGUAUUCUUCAUGCGAAUCCGAAACGCAAAAACCAUGCAUUGCAACAUUCAAAUCAUUAACGCUAAACCAUAAACCAUAAACAGUAAAUUUGAUCAUUAUCUUAUAAGCCGUAAACACUGACCUCACAUUAACACUAACAUGUAAACUGAAACUCUAAACCUUAAACCUCAAUCCCCAAGCCAUAAUCUAAACUGAAAACCCUGAACUUAAUACUAUAAACCUAAAAUAACAAACAUUAUGUAAUGAACCCUAAAACCCCAAACCGUACACGACAAAACUUAAAUAUUAAUCCUGAAACCCUAAAAUAUAAUUUAUUCAAUUUGCGACGUUUUCACAAAAAAACGCCGCUAAUACCAAUAAACAGUAUAAAAACGAUGUCGUUUUGUCUAACUUCCAACCAAAUAAUAAAAGUAAACGACGACGUAUUAGGGAAAUAUUUGCGGCGUUUAUGUAAAACCGCCGCUACUAAAGGUAAACAUCAUCAAAGCGACGUCGUUUACAAUUUGGGCGCUAUACCUACGACGAAACGUUGCGUUUCGGUUUCACAUUUUCGGCGUUUCUCGGUUAAGCGUCGCUAAUAUGCGGAUAUAGCGGCGUUUUCCUCAAGCACCACUAUUGGCUCUAUGCCUCAAUACGAAACGCUGCGUUUUGGUCCACAUAUUUUGCGGCGCUUUUGCUUUAGUGCCGCUAUUGAUGUGCUUCAGCGGCGUUUUUGCAGAAGCGCCACCAACUCUACUAUACCUCAAUAUUGUACGCUGCGUUUUGUUUAACAUUUUUUGCGGCGCUUAGAAACAAACGCCGCUAAUUGUGUUCUAUAAUGGCGUUUCUAUAAUGCGCCGCUACUGCCAAUAUUCCUAAAUAUUAAACGAUGCGUUUUGUCAGAUUUAUUACAGCGUUUUGUUUAAAAACGCCACUAAUGAUGCUCUUUUGCGGUGUUUUUGUAUAAAACGCCACUAUGUGUCUGACUAUUUACGGUGUUUUUUCGGAAACACCGCUAUUUCCCAAUUUUUACCGGCGUUUUAGUGUUAGCGCCGCUAAUGCCUGAUUUAUAGUGGCGUUUUAUCUAAAAACGCCGCAAGAAAUGCUGCUGAAGCCCCAUUUUGGUGUAGUGUACAGACUGAAUCAUACUUGUUACUCCUAAAGGAUGCAAUGAUAAUUGGAACUUUAAUAACGGUAUUGGUGCGAAAAUCAUCCACCGUACCGCUUAAUUCGAAGAAAUUUGGAAGAAGAAAUUUGGAGGAAUCGCUUGAGAAAACAGUUCCUCAUUUUCGUUUUAUUAGCUGAUAAUGACAGAAACACCUCCGAGAAAAUCAAUGACUUUGGGAAAACGAUAAAACCCAGAAUGGUUUUUUUUUGGGUUAAAAUGUGCCUUUAGUCCCUGUACUUCUCGAAAAUUAGGAAUUUAGUCCUUAUACUUGUGUUUUCAGGAUUUUAGUCUAUCUGUAGUCCUUGAAUUUUGUAAUAUGAAAAUUAGAGGGACUAAAUUCCUAGAAAUACAAGUGCAGGGACUAAAUUCCUAAGUUUUGAAAAGUACAAGGAUUAUAGGCAUAUUUUAACUCUUUUUUUUGUAAUUAGACCCUGUCAGUCAAACAUAUCUAAAAAAAACAAUUUCUAAGUUCUUCCAACGAGCUCCAAGCAAUGAUUCAACAAUUGGUACGGUGGAUUAGUACCCAUUGACGAGUAGAAGAACAAAUUUCAGAUUCAAGUCGAUCUGACGAUCAGUGUCAGAGAUUAAAGAAAAAAGUUGUUUAAUGAAAAAAUUGAACCGUAGAAGAGAAAGGGAAAGAGAGCUUUCAAUUGGUGCAGGAAGUGCGAACAAGAAAAAAACUAUACAGUAUCCAUUUUAACGGUUUAGUGACUUAAAUGAGAACUUUUGAAUAGUUCAUAAACCAAAUUGUAAUUUUUUUAGUUAAGUGACAAAACGAAAACUUACUCAUAGUUUAGUGACAAAUGAUGUAAUUUACCCUAGAAUUUAUUAAGCAAAAAGUUACCAUUGAAUAGGUUAAAAGUUGUGAAUUUAUUCUUUAUGCUUUAAUUUGGUUAUUUUUAAUUUUUGUAUUUUUUAAUUUUAAAAUUUUAGUUCUAAUCAAAUGAUAUAUAUUCGUUAAAAUGAGUUUUUGUUAUUUUCAAAUUUUGAUGUGACAAACAUUAUCAGAUAUGUAUUGCCAUAUCAGUUUGCUAUUGUCAACUUUUACUUUCAAAUCGUUUGCGUCAAAACUGAAAUUUCAAAAUUCGAAAGUUAUAGGGAUUAAAAAUGAUCCAAUCAGAGAAUAUGGACUAAAGCUACAAUUUUAUGCAUAGUACAUGACUAAUAGCAUAAUUUAACCAAACAAAUUUAGCCGUUAACAUUUGUGUUAAGAUUGAAAUUUCGAAUUUUAAAAAAUAAAGAGACUAAAACUUGAAUAAUACAAGACUUAGUCAUCGAGUGAAGUAAUAAACCAGUUGAAUUGUCGGAUCAAUUUUUUUUUUCAUCUCAUCCUAUAUCUUCUAUUUCGAUAAUAGUUACAUAAUUUAUAGAACAUAUAUUAUUUUGGAGGGAUUCUAGAUUUAAUGUAAUGGAGAAAGCAGGUUAUUUGGGAGAUGAAAGAUCAACAUGUAUGCACAUUAUUCUAUGCACAUGAAUCCAACAUGUAUGCAUCUCAGUAUUUCGGAAGACAACUUUUCUCAUAAUCAACUUCAAUAUCUAUUAAUGCCAACAUGUUAUCUUCAAUCCACAACUUCCAUGCCAACAAAAAUCACAAACUAGUGUCUUUAACCAUUGAAAACUUGGAUAUGUUGUUAGUGAUUACGUUAAGUUUGUAAACUUACAUAUCCCAUAAGGCUUAAACAAUGCUCAUUGUAAAAAUUUGUAUUAAAACAUCAGAUUGUCUGAAAAAAUAAGCUUGGGCAGGGUGGCUUUGGCCAGGUUUAUAGAGUGAGCAUUUUAGUUUUAUACAACUUGACCAUUUUUUUUAUAUUUACAGACUCGAUUCCUAUUCCGAUACUACUAAAAAUCUAACUGUUAUACUUUCUAUCUUUAUCAUUGGAUAAGGUUCAAUUAUACUCCCAAUGAAAAGAUACAAGUAUUAGAAGAAAGAAAAAACUAGUAUGUUUGGUUAGGGGGAAUAGGAAUGCAUUUCUCCCAAUUUGGUGGGCCCACCACUAAACUAACGUUUGGUUGGCUGUAAUUAUAGCCUAAAUCCAUUCAGGCCUAUUACAUGAAAAAGGUUGUAAUAGCCAUUCAUUGCCUUCAGCUCUAAUUAGCUAUUCCAUUCGAUUGUUCCGAUUUUCUUUUUUCUAAUUUCCAAUUUUUGCCCUCAGCUUCAUAUUCUCCUAACUUUCUUUCCAACAUAUCUACGUUUCCCUUUUUUUUCCAUUGAUUGCAGAGGAGACCUAGAUAUUUUAGGUAAUUUAUUUUUUCCUUCUUUAUAAUUUUUCCUUCUUUAAUGUUUGGGUACUUAGAAACUGAAGCAAAGGCGAACAAAAUGGAGAAAAAGAUGACAAAAAAAAGUUUUAAUUUUUAACUCUUUGCUUAAAACCCAUUUCUUGGGUUUGAUUUUUUUUCAGGGUUAUUUCAAAGGGAUUUCUUAUUUACACUGACAUUGGUUUAAUAUAAUCUCCAUUAGUUUCGUUUUUUUAUGUACUGAAAGUCUCCAACAAACACGGUCUUUUAACUCUUAACCAAACAAAAUUUGCAGCCCCAUUGAUUCACCAUACACACAGAGACCAAAUCUCUCAACCCCUUUCGUAUUCUUUAUUUUCUAUUUCCUUUUUUGGUUUUAAUUAUAUGAAUUUUUUGAAUUUGUCUAGCUUGUUUUUUUGUGUUAAUCUUGUCUGCAGACAAAAUCUCCAUUUUUCAUGUUCCAAUCAUGGAACUGUUAAAUUUAUGGAUUUUCUCUUGCAGAAUUUGGAUUUACGAAGACAUUUGAAGGGAAAUUGGUGUUUUUCUUUUUAUGUUGUGGGUUUUUGUCAAAUUUUUGAUGGUUUUAUAGGAUUUUGGAUCAAAUUGUGAAAGAGAAAAUAAAGAAGAAUCGGGGUGGAUUAUAAUAUAUUGCAAGUGGACAGGAAUGAUACAGAGGAUGAUCUGAAAAAAACAUAUAGGAAAUUGGCAAUGAAGUGGCAUCCUGACAAGAACCCAAACAACAAAAAAGAAGCUGAAGCCAAUUUCAAACGGAUCUCUGAGGCUUAUGAGGAAAGUCUUUCCUUCAUUUUCCUUAAUUUUGUUUCUCUUUAAUUGUGGCUUUAUGGUAGAAAAAGGAAAAUAAUGGAAGAAUUUUGUUUUCUUUAUGGAGUUCCAUUGUCAUUUGAUUAUGGUAUUUGCCUUGAAGGAAACACAAUGAUCUUGACUGUUUUAGCUGAGAAAAAAGGGGUGUUUGAAUGAAUUAGUGUUAAUAGAGGAAUGCCUGAAGAAAUUGAUAUAUUUGCUUCAAUCUUCCAAUAGCAUAGCUAUUUAUUUGUCUUAGAGAUGUAAUCUUUAUUGCUAUUGCCUUUCCUGAAAGUGAAUUAGAGAUUGGAGUAAGAAAUUAAUGAAUGGUAAUAAGAAGAGGGAUAAAAUACAAAUGCAUCUAUACUACUUGUACUCAGAUACGAGUGUUGGUUACGAGUAUGUAUGGAUUUUUUAAAAGCUUUUUCAUGUAUUUUGGAGGAUCCUUAAAGGUCGUAUCAUCUCUCUAUUUGUCGUAACAUCCUGAUUUAAGGCCUAGUCAGAACAGUAGUUUUGAGACCACAAAUCCGAUGAGGAAAAAUUCAUUUUUACUAUAUUAUUAUGGCCUACAAUUUCACGAAAAUAUUUCGUGAAAAUUUCGUUCAAAAAUUUUGACGUUUGGACACUCAAUUUAGUCAAAAGAAUUAAAUUGUAAAAAGUGCAAAAGUUGAGUUCUACAUGUUAGAGAUGUCCAAUUAUUAUGAAAUUUUAAAUUGGAGGUCCUUAAAUGGUAAUUAGACCAUUGGUUAAAUUGUUGGGCAAAAAUGGAUAUGAGAUAAGUGAAAUAGGAUAUUUUUUAAAUGAAUGGUUUUUUGGUAAUUUGGUAAUUAAAAUGAAUUAAAAAGACAAAACAAGCCAAAUUCUUGUCCAUCUUCAAGCUAUGGCCGAAUUUUACAAGGGGAAACCAUGGCUAGGGUUUUUCAAGCUUCCAAGCCUCAUAGUAAGUGCAUCCAAGCCCCGUUUUUAAUGUUCUUUACGUUUUUAGAGUCCCGGUAACUUGAUUUUGCUUAUUCUAGCAAUAAUUUAACCUAGAGUUCAUAUUUGGAAAAAUAAUCAUAUGUGAAAUAUGUUUAUUUUUAUGUUUUAUGGUAGAAUAUGAAGCUUGAAAUUAUGUUAAACAACUUUUUCUAAGCGAUUUUAAGUGAAAACGAGUAAAACGACAUAAUCGGUAAAAAUACCUAAUGUUCAUAAGUGUUAGAGUGAGAAUUUGAUGUUGCCAUAGAAGGGAAAAAUGUUCAGCGUGUCAUAAAACAUAAGAAUAAGGGAUGAAGUUUAAUUUCCGAGCUUUGGGGCAAAAGUGUAAUUAUGGAAAAGUUUAGGGGUAAAAUCGUAAUUUUUCCAAAGUUCGAGUCAAGGAUUGCUUUGAUGAAUGUGAGUAUUAAAUAAGAUAAAUUUGCUAUUAUAGAUUAAGAAGAACGAAAUCCAGAGUUAGACCGGGGAAAGAAAAAGGUUGAAGACUAAAGUGCUAGAUUUGAUUAUAUUUUGUACCGAGGUAAGUUUAUGGUAAAUAAAUGCAAUAUUUUGACAAUUAUUAUUAAUGUUGUUAUUUUUCAGCAAUUAUGUAUUUAUUUCAUGAAAAUAUCUAAUGUUGACUUAAGUAUGAGAUGACAGAGAAUCAUUGAUAAAAGCCCCGUUGAAACAUUGGGAAUGUAUCGGAUACAAAUGUCAUGACAUUAAGGGAAUAAGAUCCCAUGUAAGACCAUGUCUGGGACAUGGCAUUGGCGUCAUUGAGAUUAUGAGAGGUCUCAUGUAAGACCAUGUCUGGGACAUGGUGCUGGCACCGAGAUGAGAGGUCUCAUAUAAGACCAUGUCUGGGACAAGGUGUUGGCAUCGACCCAUGUAAGACCAUGUCUGGGACAUGGCGUUGGCACCAAGAUGAGAGGUCCCACGUAAGACCAUGUCUGGGACAUGGCAUGGGCACCGAUAUAAGAACUCCCAUGUAAGACCAUAUCUGAGAUAUGACAUUGGCAGUACAGAAAACAUCCCCUGUAAGACUAUGUCUGGGACAUAGCUUUGGCAUGUAUUAUCAGACAGGAGACUCGAGUAUCCUUAGUAUUCCAAGUGAUUCAACGGGCUAGUAAAUAGACCAUGUUACAUGAAAGUUCAGGUAAAAGCAUAAUAAUAAAUUCAGGUAAGUUAUAAGGAUUGAGAAUAUCUCAGUUAUCAGUUGAGAAAGAAAUUUCAGCAAGGGAGGAGUAAGUUAUAAUCAUGAGUUAUUUAAGUAAGCAAGUAAGUAAACAAGUAAGUGAGUAAGUAAAGAAGCGAGUAAAGAUUCUAAUGUUUGAUGAAAUUUAUGAGUAUGAUUAUUUAUGAUAAAUGUUGUUAUUUAUUUACUUGUAAACUUACUAAGCUUUAUGCUUACUUCUUUUAUUUUUUUCUUUCAUAUAGUAUUAUCAAGCAUAGUCGGGAUAUUGAAGACGUCGGAGAGCGUUCACACUAUCAACCACCACAACUCGGUAUUUUAAGACGAAAAAUGUUUUGAGCUAUAACAUGUAUAGGGACUUGUUCAUUUCGAUUGUAUAUUCUUAAGAUAUGACCAAAAGAUGAUAUGUAAAUGUUUGAUGAUGAUUAGUUAUUAAAAUGGCUAAGUAUGAAGGUGUUUCUUGUUAUAAAUGUCUAGGUGAUAAAUUAUACACAGAAAUCAUGAAAGAGUAAAAAUUGGUAGUGAAUCAGUUUUGAGAUAGUAGUAGUGAUGUGAUUUUAAAAAAUCACCAAGGAUAGUAUAAAUGAAUUAGAGGGUGGAUGAGAUAUAGAAUAAAAUCUUAUUGAGUCUAUUUUCAUAGAAAAAUAAUGGUGUAGACAAAGGAAUUAUAUAUUCUGAGAUAUUUGCAUUUUAGUUAGACAAGGUCAAAGUGGUUUUCAAAAUCUCCUGUUCUGAUUUUGGAAAAUCAUUAAAAAUUGUACAAAAAUAGUUAUGAGUUGUAAUUUAUAUUUCUAGAUUCCUUAUUGAGUCUAUUUUCUGUAGAAACAAGUGAGAAUACUAUAUGGAGUCUGUACAAUAAGAGAAUUAAAUUUUAGUGACGAGAGGUCAGGACAGUUGAUCAGUGAAACAGGGGAGAUUUUAACUAAUAAACUGUACUAAUUGGCUAAACCAAAAUUUCUAAAAAAUUUAUGGUAAAAAGAUAUAUGAGUCUGGUUUCAGAUAAAAUACGGAUCUAAAUUUUGAGUUUUGUAGCUCGAGUUAUAAUUAAUUUAGUAAUUGCUGCGCAGGUGGACAGCCUUAUUAUAAACAGUGAAAUAACUUUUAAAAGUAAAUUUUUAUGCCCGAACUUUUAAAUUAAGUCAAAUAAUGCCUCAUGCUCGACUCUGGCAACGGUCUCAGGUAAGGGGUGUUACAGUUAGUCACAAGUACUUCAAGAAAAAUAGGGAGUCCCAGCAACAUAAUAAAUGCAUAGCAUUUGCAGAGUCCAGUUUAUUAGUUUACCCACAUGCGAUACUCACCCAAAUCCGUGUAACAUAGGACCUGACUACUCCUAGUGAGCUUUUGGUUAUGUAAUUAUGUGUCUGAUAUUUCUUUCCAAUGCUGUAUUAGAUUCUAAACUAUUGUUUAUUUUUCCAUGUUAUCUUGUUAGUCUGAUUAGUUAUGGUAGUCACGUUAGAGGUCCCGGAAUAUGGUUUAUUUUAACUUUGAGAAAUUACUAGAGAGCAGAUUGUGGUGUCUGGCUCCAAACCAGGACUUGGUACAUCAUAGAGGAGUUGGUAACUGCCGAAACAAAAUGUAGUCACUGCCCUAGAACAGGUUGUGCUUGCUGCAAUAUGGUUUUCUUGUUUAUUUUGAUGACUUAUCUGAUUUUAACAUGUGCUUAAUGAUACAAAAAUACAAUAGAGUCAAACUUGUCCUGGAUCACUAUAGUAUAGAUAAGCAUGGAGAGAUGCAAGUGCCAGUAUCCGUCAUUUUCUUAGAUUUCUUAUGGGGAAUUAAGUUAAUUUUGUGAUUCAGGUCUUGAGUGCUAGUAUCUCAUACAUGAUCCUCUAUUGCAUUUGCUUGACUGAAGUUUCAUUUUGAUAUGCUUUUUAGUUCCUGCAAGUUGACCAUCACAGCAUGCAUUUUUUAUGAACUCAAGAGAGGAAAAUAAAGUCAAUAAAUUAUAUUUUCGAUCGAAUAGUGGCUAACGAGUUUAUUUCUUUCAUCUUCUUUGAUAUUGUGUUUUCUAUGCUUGUAUAUUGUUUUCAUGCUGAAAACUAUGAACUCAACUGAGAUAUUCUCACCUUAAUUACACUGUUGUGAUGAUGGCAUCAUUAUUGGUAGCUUUAUAUUUUUGAUCUUGCUGAUCGGACAGUACUUUGGAUCCUUAUAGGCGGCAAGCACAGGAAUCAGAAAUAUUAACCAUUGAUGUGAAGCCAGGGUGGAAGAAAGGAACAAAGAUUACUUUCCCAGAUAAAGGAAAUGAGCAGCCAAAUCAGCUUCCAGCAGACCUUGUAUUUGUAAUUGAUGAGAAACCCUAUGAUCUUUACAAAAGAGAUGUAAAAGAUCUUAUUGUCAACAAAAGGGUGUCACCAGCAGAAGCACUAGGGGGCACUACGAUAAAUCUAACUACUCUUGAUGGCGGUGGUGGUGAUGACACCAUUUUCUAAUUAACUUUAGGUAUCCUAUUUUUGUACAGUUUUGGUAAAGAUGAGCUAGAUGUAUGAAAAGAACCAUAUAUACAUGGUGGGCAGUUGAAACCUCAUCCAGUUAAUGUUGUUGUAUGUGAACUUAAUUGGCUUUUGCAAUGAAGAAAACCAUGAAAGUAUGGUAGUGUUGGAUUUUAAGUUAAAAUGCUUUGACAUGAAGGUAAUCUAGUGUUGUAAAAUUUUAUAACAUAUAGAUUAUGGCAUAUAAACUAGUGAAAUCAUUUAAUUUUUUGUUAAUAUAUGAAUAUUAUGUUUGGAUCUGAAAUAUAAUUCUCAAGUUAUUUAUUACUUCUAAUAUUUUGUUUUUUUAUUAUAGAAUAAUUAAAUUAUUUGUUUCACUAAUGAUAUUUUAGCACAUUAAGUAUGUAUUGUAAUUUAAAAAUAAUAAAGUAGAUUAUAUAUUAUUUUUAUAGUAUUAUAUAUUAUGAUUUUAGUAAAUUCAUAUAAUAAUAAUUAUAUUAAGAAUUUUAUUAAAUUAUAUAUUAUUUUAUUAAAUUAUAUUUAAUAAUAAUUAUGUUUAAAUAUGGCUAAAUUAAUUAUUAUUUUUAUUAAAUUAUUUUUAAUAAUAAUCUUAUUAAAAUUUAAUAACACUAACAAUAAUCAUCUACCUACAAAAAAUUUUGCUAAGGGUAUUUUAGUCAUUUUAAUUUUUUUCCUUAUGUUAUUACAACAUCAUUCCCUUAAACCAAACACAAGAAUACUAUUAUAGUUCUAUUCCAUUCCAUUCCAUUCAACUAAACAAUUGAAUUGUUAAUUACAAUUCUAUUCCAUUACAGCCCUAUUCCAUUACAGUAAACCAAACGUACUAUUUUAUAUUUACAGACUCGAUUCCUAUUCCGGUACUACUAUACCUUCUAUCUUUAUCGUUGGAGAAGGUUCAAUUAUACUCCCAAUGAGAGUAUACAAGUAUUGGGAGAGAAAAAAAAAAAGAUUCCACAUUUAAACAAUAAAAUCUAGCGGGCUCUAUCCGACCCAAUCUGUUUUUUUUUUCAUCAUCUACCUUCGAUAUUGGUAAUGGUUACAUCAUUUAUAGACCAUUUAUUAUUUGGAAGGGAUUCUUCAUGUAAUGCAGCAGUGAAAGCAGGUUGUGUUGGAGAUAGAAGAUCAAUGAUCUCACUGUUAAGCAUGGAAAUCACCAUCGACAUCGAUGGCCGAUAGUUGGCGUGUUCUUGCACGCACAACAAUCCAACAUGUAUACAUCUCAGUAUUUCUUGAUGGCAACAUUGCUU